rnacentral:other from 1 species
GUAUCCCUGCUUAGUUCGUAAAAUGAGGAUUAUAUUUUAACCAACACAUUCAAAAAGGAAUUCUGACUCUUCUUGCGGCUGUAGACCAUGCAUUAUUAUUAUUUCUUAGCAAGGGAACAAAAACAAGAAGGCAGUUGUCCACCUGUUUAUAAACAGGUUAGAAAUGUAUCCCAAGUUCUUUUAGAACUUUUACGGCUCGGUGGGGCAAAU